rnacentral:snoRNA from 1 species
ACUGCCUUUCAGUAGAUCAUGGCGUUAAAUUAUUUACGUUUAUGAAUGGACAAUAAGGCGAAAGUAGUGCCCCAAUUAAUGACUCCCAAGCGUACUCAACUCUAGAAUUAUGACUUCUAAUUCUAGAUAUUUACGUUUGCAGCAAUUAGUGGCAACAACUU